rnacentral:tRNA from 1 species
GCCCUAGUAGCUCAGUGGUAGAGCGUUCCCUUGGUAAGGGAGAGGUCAUGGGUUCAAUCCCCAUCUAGGGCU